rnacentral:rRNA from 1 species
GAGUUUGAUCCUGGCUCAGAAUCAACGCUGGCGGCGCGCCUAACACAUGCAAGUCGAACGAGAAAGUGGAGCAAUCCAUGAGUACAGUGGCGUACGGGUGAGUAACACGUGGGUAAUCUACCUCUUAGUGGGGAAUAACCGAGGGAAACCUUGGCUAAUACCGCAUAAGCCUGAGAAGGGAAAGCAGCAAUGCGCUGAGAGAGGAGCCCGCGGCUGAUUAGCUAGUUGGUGAGGUAAGAGCUCACCAAGGCAAAGAUCGGUAGCCGGCCUGAGAGGGCACACGGCCACACUGGCACUGAAACACGGGCCAGACUCCUACGGGAGGCAGCAGUGGGGAAUCUUGCACAAUGGGGGAAACCCUGAUGCAGCGACGCCGCGUGAGCGAGAAGCCCUUCGGGGUGUAAAGCUCUUUCGUCAGGGAAGAUUAUGACGGUACCUGGAGAAGCAGCUGCGGCUAACUACGUGCCAGCAGCCGCGGUAAUACGUAGGCAGCAAGCGUUGUUCGGAGUUACUGGGCGUAAAGGGUGUGUAGGCGGUUCUUUAAGUUUGGUGUGAAAUCUCCCGGCUCAACUGGGAGGGUGCGCCGAAUACUGAGGGACUAGAGUACGGGAGAGGAAAGUGGAAUUCCUGGUGUAGCGGUGAAAUGCGUAGAUAUCAGGAGGAACACCGGUGGUGUAGACGGCUUUCUGGACCGUAACUGACGCUGAGACACGAAAGCGUGGGUAGCAAACAGGAUUAGAUACCCUGGUAGUCCACGCCCUAAACGAUGCAUAUUUGGUGUGGGCAGUUCAUUCUGUCCGUGCCGGAGCUAACGCGUUAAAUAUGCCGCCUGGGGAGUACAGUCGCAAGGCUGAAACUCAAAGGAAUUGACGGGGGCCCGCACAAGCGGUGGAGCAUGUGGUUCAAUUCGACGCAACGCGAAGAACCUUACCUGGGCUCGAACGGCUUCUCAACGACUGUGGAAACAUGGUUACCCCGCAAGGGGGUGGAGUCGAGGUGCUGCAUGGCUGUCGUCAGCUCGUGUCGUGAGAUGGUGGUUAAUCCA